UACGUAGGGAGCAAGCGUUGUCCGGAAUCAUUGGGCGUAAAGCGCGCGUAGGCGGCCCUGUAAGUCCGUUGUGAAAGUCAAAGGCUCAACCUUUGAAAGCCGAUGGAUACUGCAGGGCUAGAGUCCGGAAGAGGCGAGUGGAAUUCCUGGUGUAGCGGUGGAAUGCGCAGAUAUCGUAAGGAAGACCAGUGGCGAAGGCGGGUCUCUGGACAGUUCCUGACGCUGAGGCACGAAGGCCAGGGGAGCAAACGGG
rnacentral:rRNA from 1 species